rnacentral:rRNA from 1 species
GACGAACGCUGGCGGCGUGCUUAACACAUGCAAGUCGAACGGAAAGGCCCUGCUUUUGUGGGGUGCUCGAGUGGCGAACGGGUGAGUAACACGUGAGUAACCUGCCCUUGUCUUUGGGAUAACUUCAGGAAACUGGGGCUAAUACCGGAUCGGAGCUCCUGCUGCAUGGUGGGGGUUGGAAAGUUUCGGCGGUUGGGGAUGGACUCGCGGCUUAUCAGCUUGUUGGUGGGGUAGUGGCUUACCAAGGCUUUGACGGGUAGCCGGCCUGAGAGGGUGACCGGCCACAAUGGGACUGAGAGACGGCCCAGACUCCUACGGGAGGCAGCAGUGGGGAAUAUUGCACAAUGGGCGGAAGCCUGAUGCAGCAACGCCGCGGGCGGGAUGACGGCCUUCGGGUUGUAAACCGCUUUCGCCUGUGACGAAGCGGGAGUGACGGUAAUGGGUAAAGAAGCACCGGCUAACUACGUG